CAAUAGCGUAUAUUAAAAUUGCUGCGGUUAAAAAGCUCGUAGUUGGGUUUCUGCCGAGGACGACCGGUCUGGGCAAUGCCUAUGCAUCUGGCUCGACCUGGGCAUCUUCUUGGAGAACGUCUCUGCACUUGACUGUGUGGAACGGUAUCCAGGACUUUUACUUUGAGGAAAUUAGAGUGCUUCAAGCAGGCUUCUGCCUUGAAUACAUUAGCAUGGAAUAAUAACAUAGGACUUCGGUUCUAUUUUGUUGGUUUCUAGAGCUGAAGUAAUGACCAAUAGGGAUGGUUGGGGGCAUUUGUAUUCAACUGUCAGAGGUGAAAUUCUUGGAUUUGUUGAAGACAAACUACUGCGAAAGCAUUUGCCAAGGAUGUUUUCAUUGA
rnacentral:rRNA from 1 species